AUCUAGCCCCGAUUGAAGCAUUUGUUUGAGCUCAUUUUUAGGGAUUUGGCUGCGGCGGCUUUGCCGCCGCAGCCAAAUCCCUAAAAAUAGCGAGUGCGGAAAGCGGGAAAUAGC
rnacentral:sRNA from 1 species